UGGGACGCCGUGGCCAGAAGGGAAGACAACAGGCCCGGGCAGGUGAAACAGUUACCACAGGCCCUCCUGGCACACCAAGAACUGGGCCAGGCAUGCUCGGGACACGAUGUCCUUUAAUCCUCAUGACAAGCUUAGAACACUAUCUCUGCUUCCCAGCAGCAAGGCGCUCCGGGUGCAGCUGUCUCCCUCUCCCGUGAGCCCUUUGCAGGCACCAGCAUGCACAGAGGCCAGCUCUCCAGGACGCCAGGUCCUCUCUGGUUUGCUCCCUUCCCGCUGCGGGCAGGACUUCUAGCGCCCCCCUCGAGGUCAGGGCUGGAAUCCAGGGCCAGUGGGUAGAAAUUUGGAGCCGCCUCCCAGACCCAGGGCGAAAUCAUCACCUCUGAAAAACAGGCGAGCUGCAGAACCUAAGCCACCCCAGCCUGGGGAAGGCAACAUGGGCCCCACCCUGGAAAACCACAGAAGUCCCGACCGCCUCUGCUUUCACUGCUCAGACCUGUGGGAAACUUCCUCGCUUGAGCGGCUUCUUGACGGUUACUGCUCCAGUUCUGCUGAGUCAGAAGCAUCUCCCAGCUGCUCACCGGAAACACAGCUGUUAGGCGAAAAUAACCACAGAGCCGAGCAUUGUGCACCUUCCAGAAAAGAGGGCAGAAAACCUCAAAACAAAAGAGAAAAACACAAAACAAUAGAAGAGGCGCUGUUAGAAACCCAGAAGGCGGCUUGCUCCCUUCGCCAAGCCCUGGCUCCCUCCUUGUCAUCCACAGCUUGGAGAUGGAGCAAAUCUGGCAGCUUUUCCACUGUAGCGGAACUGGCACUCCCCACCCCUCAACCCCAAUAAACCGUUAUGACCGUGUCCUAACCCCGAACCUGUGAAUGUGACCUUAUUUGGAAAAAGGGUCUUUGCAGAUGUAAUUAACAGAAGGAUCCCAAGAGGAGAUCAUCCUGGAUGACCUGUGCGGGCCCUCAAUCCAAUGGCAGGUGUCCUUAUAAGAGUGAGGGAGGAGGGGGCCGGCCCAGUGGCGCGGCCGUUAAGUUCGCACGUUCUGCUUUGGCGGC
rnacentral:lncRNA from 1 species